CGCCUUGCCAGCCCGCUCAGAACUCAAAUGAAUUGACGGGGGCCCGCACAAGCGGUGGAGCAUGUGGUUUAAUUCGAAGCAACGCGAAGAACCUUACCAGGCCUUGACAUGCAGAGAACUUUUCCAGAGAUGGAUUGGUGCCUUCGGGAACUCUGACACAGGUGCUGCGUGGCUGUCGUCAGCUCGUGUCGUGAGAUGUUGGGUUAAGUCCCGUAACGAGCGCAACCCUUGUCCUUAGUUACCAGCACGUUAUGGUGGGCACUCUAAGGAGACUGCCGGUGACAAACCGGAGGAAGGUGGGGAUGACGUCAAGUCACCAUGGCCCUUACGGCCUGGGCUACACACGUGCUACAAUGGUCGGUACAAAGGGUUGCCAAGCCGCGAGGUGGAGCUAAUCCCAUAAAACCGAUCGUAGUCCGGAUCGCAGUCUGCAACUCGACUGCGUGAAGUCGGAAUCGCUAGUAAUCGUGAAUCAGAAUGUCACGGUGAAUACGUUCCCGGGCCUU
rnacentral:rRNA from 1 species